rnacentral:rRNA from 1 species
AAUAUUGGACAAUGGGCGCAAGCCUGAUCCAGCCAUGCCGCGUGAGUGAAGAAGGCCUUAGGGUUGUAAAGCUCUUUCACCCGCGAAGAUGAUGACGGUAGCGGGAGAAGAAGCCCCGGCUAACUCCGUGCCAGCAGCCGCGGUAAUACGGAGGGGGCAAGCGUUGUUCGGAUUUACUGGGCGUAAAGGGCGCGUAGGCGGAUGUUCUUGUCAGAGGUGAAAGCCCCGGGCUCAACCUGGGAAUUGCCUUUGAAACGGGACGUCUGGAGUUCGGAAGAGGGUAGCGGAAUUCCCAGUGUAGAGGUGAAAUUCGUAGAUAUUGGGAAGAACACCAGUAGCGAAGGCGGCUACCUGGUCCGACACUGACGCUGAGGCGCGAAAGCGUGGGGAGCAAACA